GCCGGCGGGGCCUUGGGCACGCUUCGGGGCGCCAAGGCGCGUGCGCGGGACUAGAGCCACAGUCUUUGGGGGAGCGCGGAGAUGGCGGCUGCCGUGGGAGCUUCGUCUGAGCCGGCGGUUUCAGACCAGCCGGCGGAGCUGUCUGCCGCGGUGCGGGCGAGCAUCGAGCGGAAGCGGCAGCGGGCGCUGAUGCUGCGCCAGGCCCGGCUGGCGGCCCGACCUUACCCGGCGACGGCGGCUGCGGCUACCGGAGGCAUGGCUAAUGUAAAAGCAGCCCCGAAGAUAAUUGACACACAAGGAGGCUUCAUUCUGGAAGAGGAGGAGGAAGAAGAACAUACAAUUGGAAAAGUUGUUCAUCAACCAGGACCUGUAAUGGAAUUUGAUUAUGUUAUAUGUGAAGAAUGUGGUAAAGAAUUUAUGGAUUCUUACCUAAUGAACCACUUUGAUUUGGCAACUUGUGAUAACUGCAGAGAUGCUGAUGAUAAACACAAGCUUAUAACUAAAACAGAAGCAAAACAAGAAUACCUUCUGAAAGAUUGUGAUUUAGAAAAAAGAGAACCAGCUCUUAAAUUUAUUGUGAAGAAGAAUCCUCAUCAUGCACAAUGGGGUGAUAUGAAACUCUACUUAAAAUUACAGAUUGUGAAGAGGUCUCUUGAAGUUUGGGGUAGUCAGGAAGCAUUAGAAGAAGCGAAGGAAGUUCAACAGAAAAACCGAGAAAAAAUGAAACAGAAGAAGUUUGAUAAAAAAGUAAAAGAGGUUGGUGGGUAUGUUCCUGUCCUCCUGACUAGGCCACAAAGGGCUGAGAGUGGAGUAGACACUGUAGAAAUUAGAAACAAGGAGCUUACUACGCACUUUGCUCAGAAGGCUCAGAACAGAGAGGAAUAAAAGCAAGUCUAAAAGUUUUUUUAGUUCAAAAGAAAUUGGAACCUGGUUCCUCUUGGUCUUCUGAUUUUGAUCCACAAAGAAGAUGACACAAAGUUUACUUCUUUAUGGAAAGGUAACAUGCAGUGUGAACUUCAGAAUGUCCUAGUCGCUUUUCAGAGCAUCCAACAUAACUUUUCUUUGUGAAAAUGACAUUUUAACGUGAUGUAGUGGGAAAAGUUCUAAACAUUGGAAUAAAUGACCUGGGUUCCCAUGCUAUCUUUGCUCAAUUUCCUUACCUGCAAAGUUAACUCCAUGGUUCUUUCCAGGUCUUAAUAAAUUACGGCGAGCAGUAAGAAGCAGUGUAUGGAAAAAGGAGACAGUUGCUCAUCAACAUGAGUAUGGACCAGAAGAAAACCUAGAGG